UACGUAGGUGGCAAGCGUUGUCCGGAAUUACUGGGCGUAAAGCGUGCGCAGGCGGUGAUGUAAGACAGAUGUGAAAUCCCCGGGCUCAACCUGGGAACUGCAUUUGUGACUGCAUCGCUGGAGUACGGCAGAGGGGGACGGAAUUCCGCGUGUAGCAGUGAAAUGCGUAGAUAUGCGGAGGAACACCGAUGGCGAAGGCAAUCCCCUGGGCCUGUACUGACGCUCAUGCACGAAAGCGCGGGGAGCGAACGGG
rnacentral:rRNA from 1 species